UGAACUGGCAAUAUUUACUAACAAGUGCUUCUCGGUAUGUGAGAAUGGAGCCAGAUCAAAAUUCAGCAGGUCUGAUUUGCUCAUCUGACGACCUAUGCCACAAGUCACAAACCAAGAGCCGCAGGUGUUAGGGUUACUUCAGAAAUCAUUUUCAUCCAAUUUACCUACUUCAUAUAUAGAAGCUGUGAUGUAGAGGUUUCAUAGCACUGUUUUAUAUAAGCUCUGAAAAAUAUCAGGUAUAUGUAACCAAGUCCUAUAUAUGAGACUGAUUUAAAAACACAACCAACUUGAACCUCACCUUCAUAAUCCGUGUAAAGCUGGGGGCUGAUUAUUCAAAUUAGCUUUUCAUGUUGAUCAUAUUUUAGUAAAUGGCAAAAAUCUCCACUUCUAAAGUUGGGGGUACACCUACCCCUGCCAGC
rnacentral:lncRNA from 1 species